rnacentral:tRNA from 2 species
AGUUAGAUAGCAAAGUGGUUAUGCGUAGGAUUGCAAAUCUUUUAUAAUAAAAAUACAUCGGUUCGAAUCCGAUUCUAGCUU